CAAUUUUUAAAGACACAUUCCGUUAUGAAGCUUUAAAGUAGCAGCCAAUGAAAGGUCACUCAAUUACCUUGGAUGAAUUUUAAAUGUACAAAUAAGCAAAUCAGAAAAGAAAAAAACCCCAAAGCCACUCAUAUCAUAGACAUUAUCCACUAUAAGGAUUUGAUUGAUCCAAAUUUCAGAAGCGUUGUAAGGAGAUAAAAUUCUGAUAGUGAGUUGCGAUGCCAUCGGUCCAGGUUUUGAGGAGCAGCAGCAGCAUUAGUACGGGAACAGACUUUCAUUAUCAUGAGACCGAGGUAGCCUUGCAGGCGUCCGCAGGCCCGACGUCUCUUCUUUAUGUUCU